GACGAACGCUGGCGGCGUGCUUAACACAUGCAAGUCGAACGGAAAGGCCCUGCUUUUGUGGGGUGCUCGAGUGGCGAACGGGUGAGUAACACGUGAGUAACCUGCCCUUGACUUUGGGAUAACUUCAGGAAACUGGGGCUAAUACCCGAUAGGAUCUCCUGCUGCAUGGUGGGGGAUGGAAAGUUUCGGCGGUUGGGGCUGGACUCGCGGCUUAUCAGCUUGUUUGUGGGGUAGUGGCUUACCAAGGCUUCGACGGGUAGCCGGCCUGAGAGGGUGACCGGCCACAUGAGGACUGCGAUACGGACCAGAAUGCUACGGGAGGCAGUAGUGGGGAAUAUUGCACAAUGGGCGGAAGCCAGAUGCAGCGACGCCGGGUGCGGGAUGACGGCCUUCGGGUUGUAAACCGCUUUCGCCUGUGACGAAGCGUGAGUGACGGUAAUGGGUAAAGAAGCAACGGCUAACUACGUG
rnacentral:rRNA from 1 species